rnacentral:rRNA from 1 species
CCUACGGGAGGCAGCAGUGAGGAAUAUUGGUCAAUGGGCGAGAGCCUGAACCAGCCAAGUCGCGUGAAGGAUGACGGCCCUACGGGUUGUAAACUUCUUUUGUCAGGGAGCAAAUGAGUCCACGUGUGGGCUUAGCGAGAGUACGUGAAGAAAAAGCAUGGGCUAACUCCGGGCAAGCAGCCGCGGUAAUACGGAGGAUGCGAGCGUUAUCCGGAUUUACUGGGUGUAAGGGGAGCGUAGACGGCGGGGCAAGUCAGGAGUGAAAGGCCGGGGCCCAACCCCGGGACGGCUCUGGAAACUGGCCGGCUGGAGUGCGGGAGAGGUAAGCGGAAUUCCUAGUGUAGCGGUGAAAUGCGUAGAUAUUAGGAGGAACACCAGUGGCGAAGGCGGCUUACUGGACCGUGACUGACGUUGAGGCUCGAAAGCGUGGGGAGCAAACAGGAUUAGAUACCCUGGUAGUC